ACUUUAAUCCACUUAGGGGAACCUGUCCUUUAAUUCGAUAACCCACGACAAUCUUAUUUACUUUGGAUUAUCACAGCUUGUAUACCGUCGUCAUAAGUUAACCUUAAAAAGAAAAAAAGUUAACAAUAAAGAUAAAGAUUAAAGCUUUCUCAUAGGUCAGAUCAAGGUGCAGCUAAUAAGUAAAGAGGAGAUGGGUUACAAUUAAUAAUUUAUAAUGGAAUUCUUAAAGAAAAUACGAAGCAAAAUAGGACUUAAAAGUAAUUUAUGAUAACAAACACUAAUGAAUAAGGAAAUAAAGUGUGU
rnacentral:rRNA from 1 species